CGCCAAAUCAGCCGGGCUCGGUUACGGCACCAACCCCUGGGGCGUCCAGAUAGGAAAGCGUUUUCUCCUUUUUGUUUGUUCUUUCCCAGAAACCUCAAUUUCGUGCGGCGAGCAAAGCAACAGGCAGAUGGGAAAUGGAAACGGACGGACGGCCACGCACGAUCACGACCGCGCAAAUUAGAAUCCUUUCUGUCCGGCAGCCAUGGAUGCCGCGUGCUCUCGCUCGCUCGCCUCGACUCGAGAGCUAGAGAGCGAUCGAGGAGGAAACGAACAAGAGCGAGCCAGCCACGGGAUAGCAAUGGAGCGCAGCGUCCAGAGGGAUUCACCGUCAGCUAGCGACCCACUCGCAAGGAGACGAGGACGAGCGAGGAGGAGCGGAGGACAACAAUGUCCGCCGGGCCGUGCGGCGUACGUCGUCCGCGUGUCGUGCACACGGUACACCCGCACCCUCCCUCCUGCUGGUGAGGGCCGGGGCCUGACCGGUGGGGCCGCCAGGUGGUUCGUUCCAUUCUCAGACGAGCUUGCAUUGUUCAUCUUUUUUUUUUCUUGGCGUCGAUGGAUAGAAAGAGGCGUGCGCAUCUUAAUUUAUUUGCUUGCCAUCACGAAGGAAUUGGGAAGGAUGAGCAGGCAUACGCAGGAUGGCGAUUCCUGUGUUUCAUACUAGUAUCUGGAACCAUGAUGAGUAACCAUGAAAAUGGUAAUAUUUUAUUA